UAAAGCGUAUCGCAUACUAUAAAACAACGGCAGCAGUCACAGAACAGAGAUCCAUCUAUUGACAAGACUUUAGUCGGCUACUGGCGUUGAAAGUCUAGUCUCUCCAGCGCACCCUCCCCGCCGCCGCCGCCGCCGCCAUGUCGCCGCUCGCCCGCUCGCUGCUCGCGCUCGCCGCGCUGCUCGCCGCCGCCGACGCCGACGCACAAGAAGGCUACGAUUGCGUCACAAAAACAAUUGGACCCUUGCCGCGAAAAAAUAUUGUUUCUCGUUGGUUUAAAGAUAAAGCUGUGCAACCAAAACCCGCACCGACACCCGCCCGUAAUUAUUGACGAGCAACCGAUGUACCUUCGAUUCGAGUGUUAUGAAAACAGUGGUCUGUGUCGGUGGCGGUAUCUUGUACUGUGACAAUGGAAUUACAUCCUCUACUGAGUUAUCUUCGUAAGCAUCUUAAAUCUUAAUAUAACAAACGUGCAAUGGC